AUUGAACGCUGGCGGCAGGCCUAACACAUGCAAGUCGAACGGUAACAGGAAGCAGCUUGCUGCUUCGCUGACGAGUGGCGGACGGGUGAGUAAUGUCUGGGAAACUGCCUGAUGGAGGGGGAUAACUACUGGAAACGGUAGCUAAUACCGCAUAACGUCGCAAGACAAAAGAGGGGGACCUUAGGGCCUCUUGCCAUCGGAUGUGCCCAGAUGGGAUUAGCUAGUAGGUGGGGUAACGGCUCACCUAGGCGACGAUCCCUAGCUGGUCUGAGAGGAUGACCAGCCACACUGGAACUGAGACACGGUCCAGACUCCUACGGGAGGCAGCAGUGGGGAAUAUUGCACAAUGGGCGCAAGCCUGAUGCAGCCAUGCCGCGUGUAUGAAGAAGGCCUUCGGGUUGUAAAGUACUUUCAGCGGGGAGGAAGGGAGUAAAGUUAAUACCUUUGCUCAUUGACGUUACCCGCAGAAGAAGCACCGGCUAACUCCGUG
rnacentral:rRNA from 1 species